rfam:Ipomoea nil DNA, scaffold: scaffold2701, cultivar: Tokyo-kokei standard.
GUCGUUGUAGUAUAGUUGUGAGUAUCCCCGCCUGUCAUACGGGAGACCCGGGUUCGAUCCCCGGCAAUGGCG